rnacentral:rRNA from 1 species
CCAUCACCCUAAUCAAGUUUUUGGGGUCGAGGUGCCGUAAAGCACUAAAUCGGANCCNUAAAGGGAGCCCCCGAUUUAGAGCUUGACGGGGAAAGCCGGCGAACGUGGCGAGAAAGGAAGGGAAGAAAGCGAAAGGAGCGGGCGCUAGGGCGCUGGCAAGUGUAGCGGUCACGCUGCGCGUAACCACCACACCCGCCGCGCUUANUGCGCCGCUACAGGGCGCGUCCAUUCGCCAUUCAGGCUGCGCAACUGUUGGGAAGGGCGAUCGGUGCGGGCCUCUUCGCUAUUACGCCAGCUGGCGAAAGGGGGAUGUGCUGCAAGGCGAUUAAGUUGGGUAACGCCAGGGUUUUCCCAGUCACGACGUUGUAAAACGACGGCCAGUGAAUUGUAAUACGACUCACUAUAGGGCGAAUUGGGCCCGACGUCGCAUGCUCCCGGCCGCCAUGGCGGCCGCGGGAAUUCGAUUAGAGUUUGAUCCUGGCUCAGGAUGAACGCUGGCGGCGUGCCUAACACAUGCAAGUCGAACGAAGCAAUUAAAGGAAGUUUUCGGAUGGAAUUUGAUUGACUGAGUGGCGGACGGGUGAGUAACGCGUGGAUAACCUGCCUCACACUGGGGGAUAACAGUUAGAAAUGACUGCUAAUACCGCAUAAGCGCACAGUGCCGCAUGGUACGGUGUGAAAAACUCCGGUGGUGUGAGAUGGAUCCGCGUCUGAUUAGCCAGUUGGCGGGGUAACGGCCCACCAAAGCGACGAUCAGUAGCCGACCUGAGAGGGUGACCGGCCACAUUGGGACUGAGACACGGCCCAAACUCCUACGGGAGGCAGCAGUGGGGAAUAUUGCACAAUGGGCGAAAGCCUGAUGCAGCGACGCCGCGUGAGUGAAGAAGUAUUUCGGUAUGUAAAGAAUCACUAGUGAAUUCGCGGCCGCCUGCAGGUCGACCAUAUGGGAGAGCNCCC